rnacentral:rRNA from 1 species
GAUGAACGCUGGCGGCGUGCCUAAUACAUGCAAGUCGAGCGAACAGACGAGGAGCUUGCUCCUCUGACGUUAGCGGCGGACGGGUGAGUAACACGUGGAUAACCUACCUAUAAGACUGGGAUAACUUCGGGAAACCGGAGCUAAUACCGGAUAAUAUAUUGAACCGCAUGGUUCAAUAGUGAAAGACGGUUUUGCUGUCACUUAUAGAUGGAUCCGCGCCGCAUUAGCUAGUUGGUAAGGUAACGGCUUACCAAGGCAACGAUGCGUAGCCGACCUGGGAGGGUGAUCGGCCACACGGGAACUGAGACACGGUCCAGACGCCUACGGGAGGCAGCAGUAGGGAAUCUGCCGCAAUGGGCGAAAGCCUGACGGAGCAACGCCGCGUGAGUGAUGAAGGUCUUCGGAUCGUAAAACUCUGUUAUUAGGGAAGAACAAAUGUGUAAGUAACUAUGCACGUCUUGACGGUACCUAAUCAGAAAGCCACGGCUAACUACGUG